rnacentral:rRNA from 1 species
UAUAAUGGACCUAAUCAUACUUCCAAGAAAAACCUCUAAGCUUCAGGCAUAAGCUGCCCGUACCGCAAACCGACACAGGUAGUCGAGGAGAGUAUCCUCAGGCGCUCGAGUGAUUCACGGCUAAGGAACUCGGCAAAAUAGACCCGUAACUUCGGGAGAAGGGUCGCCCCGCGCAAGCGGGGCCGCGGUAAAAAGGCUCAGGCGACUGUUUAGCAAAAACACAGGGCUCUGCAAAAUCGAAAGAUGAAGUAUAGGGCCUGACACCUGCCCGGUGCUGGAAGGUUAAGGAAGCUUGUUAGUGGGAAACUGCGAAGCUUGUAACUGAAGCCCCAGUAAACGGCGGCCGUAACGAUAACGGUCCUAAGGUAGCGAAAUUCCUUGUCGGGUAAGUUCCGACCUGCACGAAUGGUGUAACGAUCUGAGCACUGUCUCGGCCGUGAGCUCGGUGAAAUUGUAGCCCCGGUGAAGAUGCCGGGUACCCGCAACGGGACGGAAAGACCCCGUGAACCUUCACUAUAGCUUUGCAUUGGUUUUGAGUAAAUAAUGUGUAGGAUAGGUGGGAGGCUGCGAAGCAGGCACGCUAGUGUUUGUGGAGCCGUCCUUGAAAUACCACCCUUUAUUUACUUAGAGUCUAACUCUUUGAAAGAGGACAGUGCAUGGUGGGUAGUUUGACUGGGGUGGUCGCCUCCAAAAGAGUAACGGAGGCUUUCAAAGGUACCCUCAGCACGCUUGGUAACCGUGCGUAGAGCGCAAUAGUCUAAGGGUGCUUGACUGUAAGACCGACGGGUCAAGCAGGUAGGAAACUAGGAUAUAGUGAUCCGGUGGUUCCGUAUGGAAGGGCCAUCGCUCAUAGGAUAAAAGGUACUCCGGGGAUAACAGGCUGAUCCUACCCAAGAGCUCAUAUCGACGGUAGGGUUCGGCACCUCGAUGUCGGCUCGUCACAUCCUGGGGCUGGAGAAGGUCCCAAGGGUUGGGCUGUUCGCCCAUUAAAGUGGCACGCGAGCUGGGUUCAGAACGUCGCAAGACAGUUCGGUCCCUAUCUGUUGUGGGCGUUUGAGAUUUGAGGAGAUCUGACUCUAGUACGAGAGGACCGGGUCGGACUGACCACUAGUGUACCUGUUAUGGCGCCAGCUGUAUCGCAGGGUAGCUAUGUCGGGAAUGGAUAAGCGCUGAAAGCAUCUAAGCACGAAACCAACUCCAAGAUUAGAUCUCGUAGGGCUGUGGAAGAUUACCACGUUGAUAGGCUACAGGUGUAAGGCAGUAAUGUCAUAGCCGAGUAGUACUAAUUGCCCGUAAGCUUU